rnacentral:lncRNA from 1 species
CCGAUCCGAACCUGCCGAUCCAGGAUGUCGUUAUGGAGAGUAACCAGCUCAAGGUCUUCCACAGGUUCGGCCUGUUGGGUGAUAGAUUCCUCCAUGGGGUCUUCAGGUCGUUCAGCGCCAGCUUGAGGAGGGGCUCAAGCCCUAGUUACUGCGAGGGCUUCACCCCUAUGUUGGUGAUUGGUGGAUUUCACUGCUGAAUCAUAG